AAAAAAAAGAAAAAAAAGAGAACGAAAAAGAAAAAAGAAAAAAAGAAAAAAAAAGUAAAAAAGAAAACGAAAAAGGAAAGAAGAAAGGAAAAAGAAAAAAUACGAAAAAUAAAGAAAAAAAGAAACAUGAAAAGUGCAAGAGAAGUUGUUUUGAAGCGUGGAAAGGAUUGGACAAUGCAAGAAAAAACUGUUAGAACGAGAAUCUUGAGAAAAUAAGGAAGGAUUGGUUUUUGGCAUCAUCACAAUACAAAGGUGAACAAUCAAUUUGGGGACAUAUCACCACUAAACAGAGAAUCACGUUGGUUAACCACCCCUCUGCUCCUCUCAACCGAGACGACCCUAACAAACAUCUCUCACACUCAUCACAGAGAAAAAACCACAAUUCACUGAUUCCAUCAUCACGCAUCAGGCACAUUCUCCUCUUGCAUCCCACCCGUAACGACCUCAACGCUGGUCUUUCCCAUUAACAAAAAUCAGAACCACCUGCACAGAAAACAACCAACUUCAUCUUCACCAUCAUAACAAUCACCCAACAGAGACACUCCUUUUCUCUCCAUCACUCAACACACACGGCUCCUGGAAUCACUCAUUCACUCAACAGAAACCUCUCAGUGAUUUUCUCAUCAGACACAUACAAAGCCUCAGAACACAAUACAGAACCUCUCUUUCCUUACCCAUAACCGAAAACAGAGCCAUCACACUCCACCAUUGGCCCCUUCUUCAUCUUGGUUGUUCUUAUCAGCAAAAAAAACAGACACAAAUCAAGCAGGGGAGAGAACCAUUUUUCCUCAAACAGAAUCACCUCUCUCGUCGUUCUUCCAUUCCAUCACCUUCGUUACACUCAAAAUCAGAGCAUCCAUCAUUAUCUUCAACCUCAUCAACUCAACAGAAUCAUCANCCCNGCCACAAUCAACCCAACNUCCCUGAGUUGUUUACGGUGUCACCCCCUUCUCCAUAGCACAAACAGAAAACAAAAAGCCAAACGAAACAAAACCCUCUUGCUCCGUUUUUUCUGCAUCCAACCCAAUUAAAGCAAAGCAGGGAAGAAGCCAAUCGCCUCCAGUACCGUCUAGCAUUCACCUGCAAAUCCCAACAGAACAACCCCAAUUAACCUCACCCACUCUCACGACAUUGUCAUCAUCAAAACCCCAGGACUCACGGCCAGCACAGCGUGGCACAAAUAAGAGGUUAAUUGCUAGCGGUGUAUAUGGAUUCUAAGUAGAAGUGACUCGACCACGACGCCACGCAUAACAGAGGAAGAAGAAUUUAUCUCGCCGGCAAUGGAGUGGCGGCCUUGGCUGACGACAACGUCUUUAGGCGAGCGGCAGUGAGAGCAGUGGGCUCUCAGAGUGCAAGAGCAAGUGUUUUCAACCGUCGUGAGAGGUGNGGUUUCUUCCGGCNUAGGUUGGUGCGGCGUCUGGCAGAGUCCGUGGCGGUGGCCGUCGGCGUUGACAGAGUUUCUGGCUGCAUCUAGUGGCGACCAGCUCGACGGAGGACGACGACUUCGACUUAGUGGCUCAGGCGACGAGGAUCGUUGUCGGCGACGCUGUUGGACCUCGGUUUGCUGUAGCCGGAAGCUGAAUCGUGGCCGUGAGCAGUGGUGUGUGCCAUGGUGUUUUUCGUUCAAAGGAGAGCAUCUUGGGUGCUGCUUUGCAAAUGAGAAGAAAUGGGGUGGAGCUGCUGGAACCCCUAAUUUCUGUUAGGGUUAAGAAGGGCUUUGGGCCUGGCAUGGGCCCUUUUCUUUGCUCGCCACCACUGGCACUCCAAUUCACACCUCACUCUGUUUCUGUGAACAAAAGAAGAGGUUUGGGCUGAGUACGCUAUUUCGGACUGCACCCCCCUUGCUACCGUUCACACCCCUUUCCCUUUCUGCAAACAAAAGAAGAUUGGGCCUGACCAGCAACUACUACAUGCCACCUCCAACUUUGCUGUUGUACCCCCGGUUUUUAAUCUCUACACCCCUAUUCUUAUUGGGCUUGGACUAUG
rnacentral:lncRNA from 1 species